rnacentral:rRNA from 1 species
GACAUGCAGAGUAACCUUUCCAGAGAGUGGUAGUUGGUCGUCCGUUCGGGAACUCUGACACGAGGUGCUGCAGUGGCUGUCGUCAGCUCGUGUCGUGGGAUGUUGGGUUAAGUCCCGUAACGAGCGCAACCCUUGUCCUUAGUUACCAGCACGUUAUGGUGGGCACUCUAAGGAGACUGCCGGUGACAAACCGGAGGAAGGUGGGGAUGACGUCAAGUCAUCAUGGCCCUUACGGCCUGGGCUACACACGUGCUACAAUGGUCGGUACAAAGGGUUGCCAAGCCGCGAGGUGGAGCUAAUCCCAUAAAACCGAUCGUAGUCCGGAUCGCAGUCUGCAACUCGACUGCGUGAAGUCGGAAUCGCUAGUAAUCGUGAAUCAGAAUGUCACGGUGAAUACGUUCCCGGGCCUU